GCGGCCAAUGUAGUCAGUCUGGGGACCCACCUCCCCCUUUCAGCUGAGCGCACACAACACAGCAUCCACGUGAGUCAGCUUCUUAAAGGCGAAGGCUUGGCCUGUCUAAUUGCGGCAGCUGCGAGACAUCGCACGUCAUUAGCGUCACCAGGUAGCGGCUGGAGCCGAGCUUCCUGAUACCUAGUGAGCCGCGGUGAUGACAAAUGAAAACAAUAAGCUGUUUCCUAGACAAACAGCUGCCUAGUUUCGCUCUGUCGCCCAGGCUGGAGUGCAGUGGCACAAUCUCGGUUCACUGCAACCUCUGCCUCCCGGGUUCAAGCAGUUCUCUUGCCUCAGCCUCCCAAGUAACUGGUACUACAGAGAAUUGAUACAAAAAAUGAUCAUGUGAAGAAUUUGCAUCUUCUGCAGAACUACCGGUAUCAGUCAGCAGUAGGAGAUUGUAUAAAUUCAGCCUGAGAUUCCAGAAUAUUCUGUGUAUUGACCACCACAGCAAGAAGAAAAAGUCCAUGUAGGACUGAAAUGUGCUGGCACCAAGAAAAUGCAUACACCCUGUGGGCAGCUCACUUUGAAGAGAGAGAGGAGAAGAAAGGGCUGGGCUGCCCCUACUCAAGCUCUUCUUCCAAAAGCAGUACUCAGAUGGGUCACUCCAUAAUUCCCAGGGUCCAGUCAGGGAGCGGUGGGGAGAGGCUGGAGUGGCCUACUAAGGGAGAGCCCUGUUAACAGAGCCUCCUACACAAGGAAGAAUCACUAGGAGAGGGGAAGGAACGUGCGAGGCCCCUGCCAACUCCUCUUCCAUACUCGUUCGUUUGCGCAUUCAACACACUUUUGAGCACCUUCUUUUCCUCUGUGCUCUGUGACAGGAAUUCAAACAUGAAACUAGAUGUGGCCUUGGCUUUCAGAGAAGUCAUUCCCUUAGUAGUGAAUACUAGUUCCCUGAAGUUUAACAUUGGAGGAGAAGGAGUUAUUAAACACCCAUUCUAAGCAAGAACAUCAGUAGCCUACAAAGGGCCUUUUUUCACACUUUGAGUCUGUUGAAGAAAACUCACAGUUGGUAUCACUUGCUUUAAAAGUGCCCCCCACUCUGCCUUGUACGGUCCGGAUUGCUGUGAGGCCAUGACAAGGAACCAAGUUCUGUUUUUCUGUGAAGAGAAUGGAAUAAUCAUUUACCUCUUUCCUGUGGCUGCCAGCUGGUCCCUUCACUCAGUCACUCCCUGUUUCUCCUUCCUCCCUUUCCUCUCCCCUUCCAGUACACAGAAUCCCUUCUCCAUAUCCCCCCAUGAUGAAGGACCACCAGUCAUUGGCUCACCUCUCUUCCAAAAUUCCAAUGACUAGAGUCUUUCUCAGAGUAUGUAUAACUGAUGUCACAGACCCCUGAGUCUGGAAGAGUCUAAGUAAAAGUGGGUGUUGACCUGAAUGUAAGUUA
rnacentral:lncRNA from 1 species